rnacentral:lncRNA from 1 species
AGACUUCGUCCGGACUCCUACGGGAGCCGGACUCCACCGACAACUUUAACUGCUGGUAAGCACUGUCCAGACUCCUACGGGAGCCGGACUUCGCAUUUAACCUUGAAUGCAGGAAGACUUCACCUGGACUCCUACGGGAGCCGGGCUUCGUCCUCGACUCCCAUAGAGGAAGACUUCACCCGGACUCCUAUGGGAGCCAGGCUUCGUCCUCGACUCCA